GGCUGGGAUUCUUACUCGGGCUGGGCCUCACAAUUCGUAUCUUCCUCAAUAUGUAGGUCCUCCUUCAAAUCACAAUAAUCGACUAAUGUAUCGUCUUCUAUCUCAUCAUCAUUUAUGAACUGAUCGUCGCCCUCUGACUCAUUAAGAUUAAAUAUAAAAUCAACUUCAACUUCGUUGGGCGACCGAUCAGCCCUAUUCAAAGGAGCUGUUACAAGUCUUCAUCAACAAG
rnacentral:lncRNA from 1 species